rnacentral:rRNA from 1 species
AGCUAAUAGAUACCCUGGUAGUCCACGCCCUAAACGAUGUCUACUAGUUGUUGGUGGAGUAAAAUCCAUGAGUAAACGCAGCUAACGCGUGAAGUAGACCGCCUGGGGAGUACGGUCGCAAGAUUAAAACUCAAAGGAAUUGACGGGGGCCCGCACAAGCGGUGGAUUAUGUGGAUUAAUUCGAUGCAACGCGAAAAACCUUACCUGGCCUUGACAUGCCACUAACGAAGCAGAGAUGCAUUAGGUGCCCGUAAGGGAAAGUGGACACAGGUGCUGCAUGGCUGCGUCAGCUCGUGUCGUGAGAUGUUGGGUUAAGUCCCGCAACGAGCGCAACCCUUGCCAUUAAUUGCCAUCAUUUAGUUGGGCACUUUAAUGGGACUGCCGGUGACAAACCGGAGGAAGGUGGGGGUGACGUCAAGUCCUCAUGGCCCUUAUGGCCAGGGCUUCACACGUAAUACAAUGGUCGGUACAGAGAGUUGCCAACCCGCGAGGGGAGCUAAUCUCAGAAAGCCGAUCGUAGUCCGGAUUGUUCUCUGC